UACGGAGGGUGCGAGCGUUAUCCGGAAUCACUGGGUUUAAAGGGUGCGUAGGCGGUUUGAUAAGUCAGUUGUGAAAUACCCCGGCUUAACCGGCGGUCGUGCGAUUGAUACUGUUGAACUUGAAUCGGGUUGAGGCAGGCGGAAUGUGGCAUGUAGCGGUGAAAUGCAUAGAUAUGCCAUAGAACACCAAUUGCGAAGGCAGCUUGCUGGGCCCGUAUUGACGCUGAGGCACGAAAGCGUGGGGAGCAAACAGG
rnacentral:rRNA from 1 species